rnacentral:rRNA from 1 species
UACGUAGGGGGCGAGCGUUGUCCGGAAUUAUUGGGCGUAAAGAGCGUGUAGGCGGUUCGGUAAGUCUGCCGUGAAAACCUGGGGCUCAACCCCGGGCGUGCGGUGGAUACUGCCGGGCUAGAGGGUGGUAGAGGCGAGUGGAAUUCCCGGUGUAGCGGUGAAAUGCGUAGAUAUCGGGAGGAAUACCAGUGGCGAAAGCGGCACCCUGGCAUCGUACUGACGCACAUGUGCGAAAGCGUGGGGAGCGAACGGG